rnacentral:rRNA from 1 species
CAUAGGUUAAUGAGGCGAACCGGGGGAACUGAAACAUCUAAGUACCCCGAGGAAAAGAAAUCAACCGAGAUUCCCCCAGUAGCGGCGAGCGAACGGGGAGGAGCCCAGAGCCUGAAUCAGUGUGUGUGUUAGUGGAAGCGUCUGGAAAGGCGCGCGAUACAGGGUGACAGCCCCGUACACAAAAAUGCACAUAUUGUGAGCUCGAUGAGUAGGGCGGGACACGUGGUAUCCUGUCUGAAUAUGGGGGGACCAUCCUCCAAGGCUAAAUACUCCUGACUGACCGAUAGUGAACCAGUACCGUGAGGGAAAGGCGAAAAGAACCCCGGCGAGGGGAGUGAAAAAGAACCUGAAACCGUGUACGUACAAGCAGUGGGAGCCUCUUUAUGGGGUGACUGCGUACCUUUUGUAUAAUGGGUCAGCGACUUAUAUUCUGUAGCAAGGUUAACCGAAUAGGGGAGCCGAAGGGAAACCGAGUCUUAACUGGGCGUUAAGUUGCAGGGUAUAGACCCGAAACCCGGUGAUCUAGCCAUGGGCAGGUUGAAGGUUGGGUAACACUAACUGGAGGACCGAACCGACUAAUGUUGAAAAAUUAGCGGAUGACUUGUGGCUGGGGGUGAAAGGCCAAUCAAACCGGGAGAUAGCUGGUUCUCCCCGAAAGCUAUUUAGGUAGCGCCUCGUGAAUUCAUCUCCGGGGGUAGAGCACUGUUUCGGCAAGGGGGUCAUCCCGACUUACCAACCCGAUGCAAACUGCGAAUACCGGAGAAUGUUAUCACGGGAGACAC